rnacentral:lncRNA from 1 species
CCAACCAUCCGAGCUAUCCGACUUCUUGACCUAUGACCGUAACAAAUAAUAAACUAUAUUUUCAUCCAAAAAGAUUAAUUAGAAGAUAUUAUUUGGAUUCUAACUUUACUCCCAUAUGAACAUCUAUAAUCUAUCCAAUAUAUAGUAAAUAUGAGACUAAACAUACAUCCGCAUAGAUCCAAAUAAUAUCAAGGUUAAAUAGUACCAAAUCAUUCUUCAGUGAAAUAGUGAAUGGAGGCUUUAUCAAAGUGGCAAGAUCCUCGUCGCUAUAUGCUCGAAUAAAUUGAGAGAG